GUGUGAACACCCAGACAAAGUUUCCAGGGAUCCAAAAAAAUGGAUCCAACCAGGAUCAAUAGCGCUCCAUAAAGUGGAAAAGCUAUUAUACAACAAGAGAGUUCUCAAGGAUAUAGAAAAGCUCAGCCACAACUUUCAGACGUCAUCACUGGAGGCUUUCCACAGUCUGAUUUUGCGUUUUGCCCCAAAGAACGUGAUUUUCCCUUUCAUAGGAAUGUUGUGCAGGCUGUAUCUUGCAGCAAUGCACUAUAAUGAAAAUGCUAACCGUGAGCAGGCAACAACAACUGAAGGACAGGCUGUGUAUAAGAUCGUUUUUCCAAAGUCCAAAAAAGGGGAAUGC